rnacentral:rRNA from 1 species
GACGUAGGGCGCGAGCGUUGUCCGGAUUUAUUGGGCGUAAAGAGCUCGUAGGCGGCUUGUCGCGUCGUCUGUGAAAUCCCGCGGCUCAACCGCGGGUCUGCAGUCGAUACGGGCAGGCUAGAGUUCGGUAGGGGAGACUGGAAUUCCUGGUGUAGCGGUGAAAUGCGCAGAUAUCAGGAGGAACACCGGUGGCGAAGGCGGGUCUCUGGGCCGAUACUGACGCUGAGGAGCGAAGGCCAGGGGAGCAAACGGG